rnacentral:rRNA from 1 species
GAUGAACGCUGGCGGCGUGCCUAAUACAUGCAAGUCGAGCGAACAGACGAGGAGCUUGCUCCUUUGACGUUAGCGGCGGACGGGUGAGUAACACGUGGGUAACCUACCUAUAAGACUGGGAUAACUUCGGGAAGCCGGAGCUAAUACCGGAUAAUAUUUCGAACCGCAUGGUUCGAUAGUGAAAGAUGGCUUUGCUGUCACUUAUAGAUGGACCUGCGCCGUAUUAGCUAGUUGGUAAGGUAACGGCUUACCAAGGCAACGAUGCGUAGCCGACCUGAGAGGGUGAUCGGCCACACUGGAACUGAGGCACGGUCCAGACUCCUACGGGAGGCAGCAGUAGGGAAUCUUCCGCAAUGGGCGAAAGCCUGACGGAGCAACGCCGCGUGAGUGAUGAAGGUCUUCGGAUCGUAAAACUCUGUUAUUAGGGAAGAACAAACGUGUAAGUAACUGUGCACGUCUUGACGGUACCUAAUCAGAAAGCCACGGCUAACUACGUG